CGAGAUUAUUAUCCAAGUGAGCACCCUGUAGAGUUAUAUACACGAAAUAGAAGAUCCGGUCUUCUGUCCAGCGAUGACGAAGGAAGACUGGGCGGUUAGUAUGGUAUAACUAUACUAUAUCCCGGUGGUCCCUAACGCUCUUAGACUAGUGUCCGGUGAUGUCUGGAACGGCGUUAUCUGGUGGUGUAGUUGUGGCGUUUGGUAGUACGAGUCUGGUAUGUACGUAGAGAAUAUACAUGCGCAGAUAUGUAUGUAUUGUAUAUACCGAUGCGAUCAAGGAUUUCCCCCUUUUUCCCCGGCACGUAGACAUUCGCGGACGAGACGCAAGUGUAUGAGGUGUAUUAAGAGCUACUGCUGCAGAUCCUUAUCAAAGUAUUUAAAGCUUCUAAAGGGAAUAGUUAAAGAGGUCUUCAGACCGCGUCCUAAAGCCCUUUUAUCUCUUUAGGGAAUUUCAAACAAAAGUCUGCUGCUGCAGCCUCUGCGACGGAGUCGACGAACACGUACGUCGGAAUAAAUCCACUGUAAACCCGAGGGAAUGAAACGGAUCGGAAUACGCGUAUAUGCAUUAGACCCGGGGUUCCAGAAAAUACAAAAUCUCGGAACUUUUAAGCUUCCGAAGAUUUUAAUGUACUAAUGGAAUAAAUAAAUAAAUUGCUUCAGCUCAAGAUCGGGCUCGAGGAGAAAGAAUUCUUACAACUAAUUCGAAGCUAUAUUCUUACCGUAAUAAUCAGGUACCAAGUGGCAACCAAAUCUGACAGAUGAGUAUUUUAUUCACCUGGUUUAACGUGCAUUGUUAUCAUCGUUAUUGAUAUUGAUAUUUACCCACAAUGAUGAUAACGCAGCACACUAUAUAUUAUACAUAUAUGAGAUGCACCGAUACACGUACAUAAAUUGAUCGGGUGAAAAUCAGAAACGAAGGGAAUAAAGUCUCAGCUCUAAAUUACCUUUAUACCUAUAUCAUCCUGCUUUCCGAUAUACCAGCUGUUUCGUUGGGGUAAUAAAUUUCACCCGGCUACUGUUUCACCAUGCAGUUGCGUAUAGAUACAUCGUUACACAUACACGUAGUUAUAAAUGUAUGCAUGUGUAUGUAUAUAUGUAUAGGAUAUACACGUAUACACCUACUCUGCGGAGGAUUUUCACAGUGGACGUGACUAAUAAAUUUUUUCCCCUCGUUCUUCUCUUUUCACGUUUAUAUCUAUAACUCUUCCGUUCUC